UGGGGAAUAUUGCACAAUGGGGGAAACCCUGAUGCAGCGACGCCGCGUGAACGAAGAAGGUAUUCGUAUCGUAAAGUUCUGUCCUAUGGGAAGAUAAUGACAGUACCAUAGAAGAAAGCUCCGGCUAAAUACGUGCCAGCAGCCGCGGUAAUACGUAUGGAGCGAGCGUUGUCCGGAAUUAUUGGGCGUAAAGGGUACUCAGGCGGUUUAAUAAGUCGAAUGUUAAAGAUCGGGGCUCAACCCCGCAAAGCAUUGGAAACUGAUAAACUUGAGUAGUGGAGAGGAAAGUGGAAUUCCUAGUGUAGUGGCGAAAUACGUAGAUAUUAGGAGGAAUACCAGUAGCGAAGGCGACUUUCUGGACACAAACUGACGCUGAGGUACGAAAGCGUGGGGAGCAAACAGG
rnacentral:rRNA from 1 species